rnacentral:tRNA from 1 species
UCCCUGGUGGUCCAGUGGUUAAGACUCCACACCUUCACUGCUGAGGGCUCAGGGUUCGAUCCCUGGUCAGGGAA